CCCUUAGAUGUUCUGGGCCGCACGCGUGCUACACUGAGUGGAUCAGCGGGUCAGGUUGCGCGAAAGCGUUUCCUAAUCUUUAAAUCCGCUCGUGAUGGGGAUUGACGGUUGCAAUUUUCUGUCAUGAACGAGGAAUACCUUGUAAGCGCGGGUCAUCAUCCCGCGCUGAAUACGUCCCUGCCCUUUGUACACACCGCCCGUCGCACCUACCGAUUGAAUGGUCCGGUGAGGCUUUGGGAUCUGAGCGGAAAGAGCGUUUCGCUGUUUCUGCUCGGAAAACUCAGUCGAACCUUAUCAUUUAGAGGAAGGAGAAGUCGUAACA
rnacentral:rRNA from 1 species